rnacentral:rRNA from 1 species
GGGUUGUGAGGUUAAGCGACUAAGCGUACACGGUGGAUGCCCUGGCAGUCAGAGGCGAUGAAGGACGUGCUAAUCUGCGAUAAGCGUCGGUAAGGUGAUAUGAACCGUUAUAACCGGCGAUUUCCGAAUGGGGAAACCCAGUGUGAUUCGUCACACUAUCAUUAACUGAAUCCAUAGGUUAAUGAGGCGAACCGGGGGAACUGAAACAUCUAAGUACCCCGAGGAAAAGAAAUCAACCGAGAUUCCCCCAGUAGCGGCGAGCGAACGGGGAGGAGCCCAGAGCCUGAAUCAGUGUGUGUGUUAGUGGAAGCGUCUGGAAAGGCGCGCGAUACAGGGUGACAGCCCCGUACACAAAAAUGCACAUAUUGUGAGCUCGAUGAGUAGGGCGGGACACGUGGUAUCCUGUCUGAAUAUGGGGGGACCAUCCUCCAAGGCUAAAUACUCCUGACUGACCGAUAGUGAACCAGUACCGUGAGGGAAAGGCGAAAAGAACCCCGGCGAGGGGAGUGAAAAAGAACCUGAAACCGUGUACGUACAAGCAGUGGGAGCACGCUUAGGCGUGUGACUGCGUACCUUUUGUAUAAUGGGUCAGCGACUUAUAUUCUGUAGCAAGGUUAACCGAAUAGGGGAGCCGAAGGGAAACCGAGUCUUAACUGGGCGUUAAGUUGCAGGGUAUAGACCCGAAACCCGGUGAUCUAGCCAUGGGCAGGUUGAAGGUUGGGUAACACUAACUGGAGGACCGAACCGACUAAUGUUGAAAAAUUAGCGGAUGACUUGUGGCUGGGGGUGAAAGGCCAAUCAAACCGGGAGAUAGCUGGUUCUCCCCGAAAGCUAUUUAGGUAGCGCCUCGUGAAUUCAUCUCCGGGGGUAGAGCACUGUUUCGGCAAGGGGGUCAUCCCGACUUACCAACCCGAUGCAAACUGCGAAUACCGGAGAAUGUUAUCACGGGAGACACACGGCGGGUGCUAACGUCCGUCGUGAAGAGGGAAACAACCCAGACCGCCAGCUAAGGUCCCAAAGUCAUGGUUAAGUGGGAAACGAUGUGGGAAGGCCCAGACAGCCAGGAUGUUGGCUUAGAAGCAGCCAUCAUUUAAAGAAAGCGUAAUAGCUCACUGGUCGAGUCGGCCUGCGCGGAAGAUGUAACGGGGCUAAACCAUGCACCGAAGCUGCGGCAGCGACGCUUAUGCGUUGUUGGGUAGGGGAGCGUUCUGUAAGCCUGUGAAGGUGUGCUGUGAGGCAUGCUGGAGGUAUCAGAAGUGCGAAUGCUGACAUAAGUAACGAUAAAGCGGGUGAAAAGCCCGCUCGCCGGAAGACCAAGGGUUCCUGUCCAACGUUAAUCGGGGCAGGGUGAGUCGACCCCUAAGGCGAGGCCGAAAGGCGUAGUCGAUGGGAAACAGGUUAAUAUUCCUGUACUUGGUGUUACUGCGAAGGGGGGACGGAGAAGGCUAUGUUGGCCGGGCGACGGUUGUCCCGGUUUAAGCGUGUAGGCUGGUUUUCCAGGCAAAUCCGGAAAAUCAAGGCUGAGGCGUGAUGACGAGGCACUACGGUGCUGAAGCAACAAAUGCCCUGCUUCCAGGAAAAGCCUCUAAGCAUCAGGUAACAUCAAAUCGUACCCCAAACCGACACAGGUGGUCAGGUAGAGAAUACCAAGGCGCUUGAGAGAACUCGGGUGAAGGAACUAGGCAAAAUGGUGCCGUAACUUCGGGAGAAGGCACGCUGAUAUGUAGGUGAAGUCCCUUGCGGAUGGAGCUGAAAUCAGUCGAAGAUACCAGCUGGCUGCAACUGUUUAUUAAAAACACAGCACUGUGCAAACACGAAAGUGGACGUAUACGGUGUGACGCCUGCCCGGUGCCGGAAGGUUAAUUGAUGGGGUCAGCGCAAGCGAAGCUCUUGAUCGAAGCCCCGGUAAACGGCGGCCGUAACUAUAACGGUCCUAAGGUAGCGAAAUUCCUUGUCGGGUAAGUUCCGACCUGCACGAAUGGCGUAAUGAUGGCCAGGCUGUCUCCACCCGAGACUCAGUGAAAUUGAACUCGCUGUGAAGAUGCAGUGUACCCGCGGCAAGACGGAAAGACCCCGUGAACCUUUACUAUAGCUUGACACUGAACAUUGAGCCUUGAUGUGUAGGAUAGGUGGGAGGCUUUGAAGUGUGGACGCCAGUCUGCAUGGAGCCGACCUUGAAAUACCACCCUUUAAUGUUUGAUGUUCUAACGUUGACCCGUAAUCCGGGUUGCGGACAGUGUCUGGUGGGUAGUUUGACUGGGGCGGUCUCCUCCUAAAGAGUAACGGAGGAGCACGAAGGUUGGCUAAUCCUGGUCGGACAUCAGGAGGUUAGUGCAAUGGCAUAAGCCAGCUUGACUGCGAGCGUGACGGCGCGAGCAGGUGCGAAAGCAGGUCAUAGUGAUCCGGUGGUUCUGAAUGGAAGGGCCAUCGCUCAACGGAUAAAAGGUACUCCGGGGAUAACAGGCUGAUACCGCCCAAGAGUUCAUAUCGACGGCGGUGUUUGGCACCUCGAUGUCGGCUCAUCACAUCCUGGGGCUGAAGUAGGUCCCAAGGGUAUGGCUGUUCGCCAUUUAAAGUGGUACGCGAGCUGGGUUUAGAACGUCGUGAGACAGUUCGGUCCCUAUCUGCCGUGGGCGCUGGAGAACUGAGGGGGGCUGCUCCUAGUACGAGAGGACCGGAGUGGACGCAUCACUGGUGUUCGGGUUGUCAUGCCAAUGGCACUGCCCGGUAGCUAAAUGCGGAAGAGAUAAGUGCUGAAAGCAUCUAAGCACGAAACUUGCCCCGAGAUGAGUUCUCCCUGACCCUUUAAGGGUCCUGAAGGAACGUUGAAGACGACGACGUUGAUAGGCCGGGUGUGUAAGCGCAGCGAUGCGUUGAGCUAACCGGUACUAAUGAACCGUGAGGCUUAACCUUACAACGCCGAAGCUGUU